AGAGUUUGAUCCUGGCUCAGAAUGAACGUUGGCGGCGUGGAUUAGGCAUGCAAGUCGAACGCGAAUUUUCCCUUCGGGGAAUUAGUAGCGUGGCGUAAGGGGCAGUAAUACAUAGGUAACCUACCCUCAGGACCGGGAUAUACGGUGGAAACGCCGGGCAAUACUGGACCUUCGUCACGAGAAGGCAUCUUUUUGUGAUGAAGUAUUUAUCGCCUGAGGAGGGGCUUAUGCCCUAUCAGCUUGUUGGUGAGGUAACGGCUCACCAAGGCUACAACGGGUAGGGGGUGUGAGAGCACGACCCCCGUCACUGGCACUGAGACACUGGCCAGACUCCUACGGGAGGCUGCAGUCGAGAAUCUUCGGCAAUGGGCGAAAGCCUGACCGAGCGACGCCGCGUGGAGGAAGAAGGCCUUCGGGUGUAAACUCCUGUUGGGGGGAUCAAUAAAUGAGAGCACCCCUGAGGAAGCACGGCUUAGUCGUGCAGCAGCCGCGGUAAGAC
rnacentral:rRNA from 1 species